AGUAAGGGCCAUAUUUGGCCCCAAUUAUAAAGUUCAUAGUUACAAGACAAUAAAUGUUUUAAGAUGCCUUAAAGACAUGUGAGAAAGUAAAACAGAACCGUUUUUGUCAAAGUUUAAUUCUAACAAGUGGAUUUUUUCAUCCCAAAAAGGUCAAGAUAAGGGAUUUUGGUGAAAUUUGACAAAAUCAGCUGGAUUUCAACCAAAUUAAGGACCAGGAAACAUAGAGCGCAGGCGUCG
rnacentral:lncRNA from 1 species